GUGGUUGUGGCUUAGAGGUAGAGCACUCACCUAGCAUGUGUAAGGCACUGGGUUCAAUCCUCAGCAUCACA
rnacentral:tRNA from 1 species